GACGAACGCUGGCGGCGUGCUUAACACAUGCAAGUCGAACGAAGUGGCGAACGGGUGAGUAACGCGUAAUCAACCUGCCCUUCAGAGGGGGACAACAGUUGGAAACGACUGCUAAUACCGCAUACUGAAGGAGGGGCUUGCGUCUGAUUAGCGAGUUGGGGGGGUAACGGCCCACCAAGGGGAUGAUCAGUAGCCGGUCGGAGAGGAUGAACGGCGACAUGGGGACUGAGACACGGCCCAGACUCCUACGGGAGGCAGCAGUGGGGAAUCUUCCGGAAUGGACGAAAGUCUGACGGAGCAACGCCGCGUGAUGGAUGACGGCCUUCGGGUUGUAAAGCUCUGUUAAUCGGGACGCGGUACCGGAAUAGAAAGCCACGGCUAACUACGUGCCAGCAGCCGCGGUAAUUC
rnacentral:rRNA from 1 species